AAAACCAAGGGAUUAAGUUAUAUUGUAAGGUAAAAAGACAGUUAAGCUUACUAGCGUUUAGUUAAUUAAUCAUUUGUAUAAAGGUAAAAUUUGAAUACAGGUAGCAAAGACAUACAUAGCUAAUGAUCGAGCGGAAGCUGUGAUAAUCUUGAGGGAAACUGGGAUUAGAUACCCCAUUAUUCUUGAAUGUAAAUUUGAUUAGAUUUACCAGAGUACUAUGAAUCAUAUAAAAUUUAAAACUCAAAGGGCUUGGCGGUGUUUUAGACCUAUUAGGGGAACCUGUCCUGUAAUCGACAGUCCACGUUAAACCUGACCUUUUUUAGCAAUCAGCUUGUAUACCGUCGUCGUCAGGUAACUUUUAAAAAAUUAGAAGUUAGCUAAUGUAAUUUUUAUAAAUUAAAACGUCAGAUCAAGGUGCAGCCAAUAAAAAGGAAAGGAUGGGUUACAAUUAUAUUCUUAUAAUUACGGAAGAUUAUGUGAAAGCGUAAACGGAAGGAGGACCUUAAAAGUAAAAUGUAUUACAUAAAUAAUUUGAAUAAGGCUCUGAAACGUGC
rnacentral:rRNA from 1 species